CCAAAAAUGUUGGUUAAAUCCCUCCUAUACUA
rnacentral:tRNA from 1 species